rnacentral:rRNA from 1 species
CAGCGCCACGAGUGGCAAUCGCGUUUAUUGGGCCUAAAGCGUCCGUAGCCGGUUCAGCAAAUCUUUUGUGAAAUCGUCAGGCUUAACUUGACGGAUUGCAGAAGACACUACUGAACUCGGGACUGGGAGGAGUCAGAAGUAUUUUGGGGGGACCGGUAAAAUGGUAUAAUCCCCAGAGGACUACCGAUGGCGAAGGCAUCUGACCAGAACGGAUCCGACGGUGAGGGACGAAAGCUAGGGGAGCGAACCGGAUUAGAUACCCGAGUAGUCC